rnacentral:tRNA from 1 species
GGAUUGUAGCUCAGUGGUAGAGUGCUUGCCUAGCACGUGUGAGGCCCUGGGUUUGAUACUCAGCACCA